GGCUGGAGGCGAGAGCGCAAGCUGAACAGAGACUUGAGGCAGCUCUCCUAUUUUUGUUUCCACAGACAAGACGCAGAAGCUGGCCACACACAAAAAAGUUUCCCAUGCCUAAGAAAACAGAAACUCUGCUGUGGUCAAGAAACUUGAGAAAAACACGACAACAGUUAGAGGGAGGUUCAACGCUUCUUGUAUAAGUUAUUUUAAGGUGCUACAUUUAGUAAACACAGGAUAUCAUGAUGAAAAGUUGGCGAAGUGCAAAUACUUUUAACCAGUUAAAUGAAUAACAUUAAAAACGUUACGACGGGACGUCAGACUAUAUUCAUAUGACGUCAUUUAUUUGAUCAACCUCAGAUCAGUUGUUUGUUUUUUAGAACUUUUACUUACUGAGUCAUAGAAUACGUAAUAUGUGAGUAAGUGCAGGUAUAACGUUAGCUGUAUUACACACGUCUGUUCCCACAGCAUAUAUUAAAUGUCUUUCAAUAGGCUUCGUUAAACGCAUGCGCAAGCCUUUGCGGUUUAUUGAUCGGGAGUAAAUUGACCUUUUUUUGGCAACUAAUAUCAGUCCCAUUUAUGGUCAAGUUCCUCCCUGGUGAACGACCGGGAAACCUCUCCCAGGUCGGCCAGAUUCCAGAAGUAACGCCCCCGUGUACAGAGCGUGGAGGAGGACUUGACUGCUUUUCAACAGGCAGGCGUGAAAACUGGAGUACUCUGACUCAGGAAUGAUUACGGGUCAACAGCAGGUCAUGGAAGGUGAUGUCAUUUCAGAUGAGAUGAGAUCAGAGCGUAUCAGUGAAUGUUUCUGCUGAAUGUCAAGCCCCAGUCACGCAUGCUGGCGGAUGAGACAGGUGUGGCCCAUCAGGGCGUGUGGCUUGUGGUGGUCUCGUGAUCGAAGUGGCAAUACUGGAAACUAUCAAAGUGAGACGGAAAGCUUUUAGUCAAUCAGACCACAGGACACUCAAAACUGCCCGGCACUCAAACGGUUAAACAGCUCUUCACUUCACAGGAGAGUCAAUUCAUUCACCUUAUAUGGAUACCGGUCUACUU